rnacentral:rRNA from 1 species
GACGUAGGAGGCGAGCGUUGUCCGGAUUCAUUGGGCGUAAAGAGCGCGCAGGCGGCUUGGUAAGUCGGAUGUGAAAUCCCGAGGCUCAACCUCGGGUCUGCAUCCGAUACUGCCCGGCUAGAGGUAGGUAGGGGAGAUCGGAAUUCCUGGUGUAGCGGUGAAAUGCGCAGAUAUCGGGAGGAACACCGGUGGCGAAGGCGGUUCUCUGGGCCUGACCUGACGCUGAGGAGCGAAAGCGUGGGGAGCGAACAGG